rnacentral:rRNA from 1 species
GAUGAACGCUGGCGGCGUGCCUAAUACAUGCAAGUCGAGCGCACGGACGAGAAGUUUGCUUCCCUGAUGUUUGCGGCGGGCGGGUGAGUCACAUGUGGAUACUCUCCCUAUACGACUGGGAACACUUCGGGACACCGUCGCUAAUCCCGUAUAAUUUUUUGAUCCGUAUGGUUCACUAGUGAAAGACGGUCUCGCUGCUACUUAUAGAUCGAUCCGCGUUGCAUUAGGUAGUUGGUAAGGUAACGGCUGACCAAGGCAACGAGGCAUAGCCGACCUGAGAGGGGGAACGGCCACACUGGAACGGGAACACGGCCCAGACUCCUACGGGAGGCAGCAGUAGGGAACCUUCCGCAAUGAGCGAAGGCCGAACGGGGCAACGCGGCGGGAGGGAGGAAGGUCUUCGAAUCGUAAGACUCGGUGAAAAGGGAGGAACAGAUGUGGAAGGAACAGUGCACAUCUUGACGGUACCUAAUCAGAAAGCCACGGCUAACUACGUG